rnacentral:rRNA from 1 species
GUGGGGAAUAUUGGACAAUGGGCGAAAGCCUGAUCCAGCCAUGCCGCGUGUGUGAAGAAGGUCUUCGGAUUGUAAAGCACUUUAAGUUGGGAGGAAGGGCAGUAAGUUAAUACCUUGCUGUUUUGACGUUACCGACAGAAUAAGCACCGGCUAACUUCGUGCCAGCAGCCGCGGUAAUACGAAGGGUGCAAGCGUUAACCGGAAUUACUGGGCGUAAAGCGCGCGUAGGUGGUUUUGUAAGUUGGAGGUGAAAUCCCCGGGCUCAACCUGGGAACUGCCUGCAAAACUGCAUGACUAGAGUACGGUAGAGGGUAGUGGAAUUUCCUGUGUAGCGGUGAAAUGCGUAGAUAUAGGAAGGAACACCAGUGGCGAAGGCGACUACCUGGACUGAUACUGACACUGAGGUGCGAAAGCGUGGGGAGCAAACAGGAUUAGAUACCCUUGUAGUCC